GCCAGGCACAGUGGCGAGCGCCUAUAGCGCCUAUAGUCCCAGCUACUUGGGAGGCUGAGGCAGGAGGAUCACUUGAGCCUAGGAGUUUGGGGCUAUAGUGUGUUAUGCUGAUGGGGUGUCUGCACUAAGUCUGGCAUCAGUAUGGUGACCUCCAGGAGCAGGGGACCACAAGGUUGCCUAAGGAGGGGUGAAAUGGCUCAGGUUGGAAACAGAGCAGGUCAAAAUUCCCACGCUGAUCAGUAUCGGGAUGGUGCCUUUGAAUAGCCACUGCACUGCAGCCUGGGCAACAUAGCCAAACCCCCUAA
rnacentral:SRP_RNA from 1 species